rnacentral:rRNA from 1 species
UGGGGGAUAUUGCACAAUGGGGGAAACCCUGAUGCGGCGACGCCGCGUGAGUGAAGAAGUAUUUCGGUAUGUAAAGCUCUAUCAGCAGGGAAGAAAAUGACAGUACCUGAGUAAGAAGCCCCGGCUAACUACGUGCC